AUUCCUUUCCCGGCCUUUUGGCUAAGAUCAAGUGUAGUAUCUGUUCUUGUCAAUUUAAUAUCUGAUACGUGGAUCUUCGGAUCCACCCUAUAAAUUAAUUUAAUUUUUUGGGGGAGGACCUAUAAAAUGUAGCUUGCUGCAUGGGUCCUCAUGUGUCGUUCAAGCGUUGCACUGUUGUUUUGAACAGGCACACCCCAA